UCUUGCUCCUAGACAAAUCAAACAACUUCUUUGCUUGCUUUGAGGACAAUACAGUGCCACUGACACGAUCCGCUACCAAAGCCUGUGUGCUCUCUUUCACGGUGUAAAACAUUUUAACAUGUUAACCCUCGCAAGGCUGCCUGGUGGCUGGUGUGUUUACAGGCAUAUUCAAUUAAUCCCUAUCCCAGUCUGCUGUGCUCACAUGCUUCAAGAUGGCCACCAUUGUUCCUGUUCCCAAGAAAGCUAAGCAGCUAAAGCUAGGACAAAGUGUCACAAGACUGUCUGCGUGGCACCAUGCUUCUAUAAACAACGACACUGUAGUGUUCCAUCUGACUGACUAGGGACAGGACCUGAGCCCUAGGACCAUGCCUCAGGACUACCUGGCCUGAUGACUCCUUGCUGUCACCAGUGCACUUGGUCAUGCAGCUGCUCCAGUUUCAAAUGUUCUGCCUGCGGCUAUGGAAACCUGACCUGUUCAUUGGACGUGCUACCUUGUCCCGGACAUGCUGUUUUGGACUCUCUCU